UCCUGGCUGGCUCAGUCAGGAGAGCAUGAGACUUUUAAUCUCAGGCUCGUGGGUUCAGGCCCCACGUUGGGCA
rnacentral:tRNA from 1 species